ensembl:misc_RNA 7SK 7SK RNA
GGAUGCGAGGGCUGUCCUGCUGUAACACCUGUCACUGCACUGUAACCAGAGUUGAGGCAGCCGAUCUGGCUGGCUAGGCAGAGUGUCCCUCUCUCACUGCUCCACUGUCGGUGUCACUCCCGGCCGGCAGGAAGGACACACAACAAAGUCUGGCAGUGGACAACCUUUUCUUUUAUUUUCCUUCUCCGUACAGCCUGCCCCGGGAAUCCUCCCGGCCGAA